GCUAAGCGUGCUUCUAAAUUCAAGUCUGCUCGUUAAAUAUAGUCAAACAGCAACAGGGACACAUUAUGUUGGAUGCACGAUUUUUUUUUUGUUUUUUUUUGCGAUUUUUGGUUAUCAGUGUUGUGAAGAGACAGAGCAACAACAAGCCACACACAAACAACAAAACGAAAAACAACAAAAUGUUAGCAUUAUUUUUGGUUUCAUUUAACGGUAUCGAUGUGGAGAAUGACGAGUAUUUUUUGAAUCUAGCGCAUGUAACAAUCAACUUUGGUCACACAAUGCUGGAUAUUCCAUGAAUAUGACUCUGGUCACAUUGUAGCAUCAACUUUUGUUCUCGUUCAAUUUUCCACUACCUUCUCUUUUAAAACGUGACUUUAAUGAUGACAAGACGUGUUGCUGUUGAAUAUUCUUGCGAAUCAUGUAAAAUGUUGAAAAAGAGGUAACACAAAAUGAUGAAGCCGAAGAAUCGGCUGAGAAAAAUUUGAAUAUUUGAAAAGAAAAAAUGGAAAGAUGUUUCCACCAUGCCCUAACAUGAGCUGGCUGCCAACAGCAGAACAAUUUUGAGGUGAACAUUUGAACUGUGGAAGCCACUUUCGAUAUCGUUAUUUGGCUGAUUAAGAAUUACAUAUUCUAACCAAAUGGCAUAUCAAAUUGUGGCACAUGGACUAUUGCAGCAUCAAAGAGUUUAAAGCGAUUGAGCGCCAAAUGCUGAAGCUUGACUGCAAAGCGAGUCUUAAAUGCAAUGCAAAAUAAGCUAUACAUGUGGUCCUUGGAGCUCAAUGGUGUUUGCGUUUAAAAGAAUAAAAUAAAAUGCACAUAAAUAUCAAAAA